UGCCAUGGAGAAAUGUUGUGGCAAAGGAAGACAUUAAGUCCCAGACACAAUCACAAGGCUGUUUUCCUUGGACUGAGCUUUGAUUUCAGAUUUAUAUGACUCUCAUCAUAGCAAAUGCUCAGAGAGAGGAAUUUCCGACUGGAACACAUUGAAAAUAGAAAGGAAAUAACUCACUAUAAACAGCACUGAGGAGAAACAAGUGAACAUGCAGGGUACCACACAAUCCUUUGUCAGAACGAUAUAAGAAGAGUGAUGGAAAGGACUGGGGAUAAGGACAAGGAAGAAUUGAACAAAAUAAAAAGUUUCCAGCCAUGCUGUCAGGUUUGGUGAAAACAUGCUGAGGAUUAACUGUUUCAGUGCUGUGGGACCUGCAGGGUAAUGGAGGCGAAAGAGAUGGGAAGUUUCCUUGUGCAUCAAACUCAUAAGGCUUUAUGCUGCCAGUCUUGUGGCAGAAUCUCUGUACCCAAAACACUGCUGAAGUGGGGACAACCACAGUCAAGACUUGACAACAAACCAAUACUACACAAAUGUAGUCCUUAAAACAAAUGUUUUAGCCAUAAAUUACCAGUUCCCAUUGGUGGUACUUGACUUUCUGCAACAUAUUUUAUGGAGCCUGAGGUGAGACAAUUCCAACCUGACAUAUUGUGAAUAUAUUACAUCAAAAGAUUUUUCUUCAAAAGGUCUACUUGUUAGAAUUUGAUUGUCAGGUCAGCUUGGACCUGAGCUUAAUACACUGUGCAAUAUGUUUCUCCACAGUCAACGUGCUCCCUAUGUAGAUAGAUACUUCAUCUAGACAAGUCCAGGUUCUUGUAAUCAGAGUUUGAUUCCUCUCCCUGGUCUUUCUGCUUGAAAUUCAAAUAGCAACACUCCUCUCCUUCCUUCUGAUUAAGUAUUUUCAUAACUACUUUUGCACACUGUUUCUCACAUAUUUGUUCCAUGUAUGGAAAAGAACAUAUGGAGCCAGAGGUCUGCAGAGAGGACUGAGCCCUGGGACUGAUGGAGAUAAACUAACUGUAUAAUUUUGUAACUGGAAACAGAAAAGUAAAUCCUUUUAGCUAGAAGUGGAGCAGAGAACUGUCCAUGACAGCCUGAUCACCUUUAUCUCAGAAGCCAAUAAUCUCACACUAUAACUCCUGUCAUUCAUGCUACAACAUUAGAGAGACCAAGGCUUGAUUUAAGAAGUUGCCAUGGCAGAGAAUCCACAAUGUCUCCAGGUAUCACAGAUUAAUUAUCCUCCUUAAAAUAUAAUUGAUUCUAUUAGGAAUGCCUUUAGUUUCCAUUUUCAAGCCACAUAUCAUUAUAUCUUUUUCCUCUAAGACGGAAAAGUUAACUAAUAGUAAAAAACCUCUACACUGUUUAAUGCUUAUAGUCACCUCUUAAGCCAAGCAGAGAGUUAUAUAUAUAGCAGGCCCAGUGAGGAGGAGGAGGAGGAGUUGUAUAUGAUGAGGAUUGUAUAGGAGGCAGCAGGAAUUCAAUAACUGUACCAGAACAUUAACAUUUUUCAUAAUCCAUAAAAAGAUGGAUGCCUUUUAUAGAACUCUGGUACAUGUAUUUUCUUGUUUUAUCAAACAUUUCAAAAAUAUAAAUGAGUGCUGAAUUAUAUUUCUAUAAACUUAGUCAGAAUUUACAUCUUCUCCAGUCUCCUCCCAUACAUUUAAAUCCCCAUCCCACACUUUAAUACUUUCUUUUUCCUGCUUUUUUCCUUUUACCCAUUAUUUUCAUAUUAAGAAGCAAUGAUGGAUCUAGGAGAGCUCUGUGUGACUCACUGAUAAGUCUUUUCCUCUAGAAAAUUGCUCUUGUAAUUGCUCUAAAAGCAAAGCCUCCAGAAGUGAUGACUCAGUGCAGGAGGUCGGACCAAGCAGCACUGCUGAGCAGCAGCAAAAGAUGGAUCUGGGGGGGUCUAACAAUAGCUCUGAGUGCCAGCAGAGUCAAAUUGGCUGAUUAACAGCACACAGGAAAUACAAUAAACACAGGGGUGCCAA